GAGAUUCAACUCCUCCACUUUA
rnacentral:miRNA from 1 species